ACAGGACAAGGCUGUGUCUCUUCUCAAGCUUGAGUCCAAAUUUAACUCUGUCUCUGUUUGAUUACUUGUUUUUUGUCUCAUUUAAUAGAUGUCAACAGUGUUUGAACCGGACAUCUUCUUGGUCCUUCGAGGCGGAUUCCAACACGUCUGACGAUUCCAGCAAGAGUGAGUGAAACCAGAGACCAUGGCAUCCAAAUCCUGAUUGAGGAACUGCGUUUCUUCAUUUUGGCUGGAAUUGGACGACUGACGGAAUACCGAGGACAAAAGGAAGGAACGCAGAGUUCAAUGUCAUCAAUGUUUGAACCUGACAGAUGGAGGUCUCGCAACUACGUCUUCACAGAGACAACAGUCAGUGGAAACUUGCUGACAUCAGCCUCCUCCUGCCCUACAGGACACUCUCCCUCCUGACUGAUCCACACUUCCUCCUCUUCCUCUUUAAUGUGGGGGGGCUGUGGAUCCUCCUGCUGCUGAAGGGGACGUUCUUCUUGACGAGCGUUCAUCUGUUGGACGUCCACAAGACAACACAAACAAACUUCAGCUCAGAUGUGUCAAAUGUUUUUUAGACCAUCAAAUAUAAUAUUUUCCAAGUGGACUGACACCACUUUGUGGUGAUGUUCUUCUACACAUGGAAUAAUCAUCAGUUAUUGAUUAUUAUGAAUUGUGUUAUUGAUCCUGUUUUCUGCAUUUACAUUAAUUACUGAUUAAAAAGUAACAACUUAAAGAAAA